rnacentral:rRNA from 1 species
UACGUAGGGGGCCAGCGUUGUCCGGAAUCAUUGGGCGUAAAGCGCGCGUAGGCGGUCAGGUAAGUCCGGUGUGAAAGUCAUAGGCUCAACCUAUGAAUGCCGCUGGAAACUGCCUGACUUGAGUCCGGAAGGGGCGAGUGGAAUUCCUGGUGUAGCGGUGAAAUGCGCAGAUAUCAGGAGGAACACCAGUGGCGAAGGCGGCUCACUGGUCCAUUACUGACGCUGAGGUGCGAAAGCGUGGGGAGCAAACAGG